rnacentral:rRNA from 1 species
GGACGAACGCUGGCGGCGUGCCUAAUACAUGCAAGUCGAACGAGUCCUCCCAAUUUGAUUUUAUGCUUGCAUAAAUGAUUUUUGGAUUCGGGACGAGUGGCGAACUGGUGAGUAACACGUGGGUAACCUGCCCUGAAGUAGGGGAUAACAUUUGGAAACAGAUGCUAAUACCGUAUAAUUAGUUGGAACCACAUGGUUCCAACUUGAAAGAUGGCUCUGCUAUCACUUUAGGAUGGACCCGCGGCGUAUUAGCUAGUUGGUGAGAUAAAAGCUCACCAAGGCGAUGAUACGUAGCCGACCUGAGAGGGUAAUCGGCCACAUUGGGACUGAGACACGGCCCAGACUCCUACGGGAGGCAGCAGUAGGGAAUCUUCCACAAUGGACGAAAGUCUGAUGGAGCAACGCCGCGUGAGUGAAGAAGGGUUUCGGCUCGUAAAACUCUGUUGUUAAAGAAGAACAAGUGUAAGAGUAACUGUUUACGCUUUGACGGUAUUUAACCAGAAAGCCACGGCUAACUACGUGCCAGCAGCCGCGGUAAUACGUAGGUGGCAAGCGUUGUCCGGAUUUAUUGGGCGUAAAGCGAGCGCAGGUGGUUCUUUAAGUCUGUUGUGAAAGCCCUCAGCUCAACUGAGGAAAGUGCAGCGGAAACUAAAGGACUUGAGUACAGAAGAGGAUAGUGGAACUCCAUGUGUAGCGGUGAAAUGCGUAGAUAUAUGGAAGAACACCAGUGGCGAAGGCGGCUAUCUGGUCUGUUACUGACACUGAGGCUCGAAAGCAUGGGUAGCGAACAGGAUUAGAUACCCUGGUAGUCCAUGCCGUAAACGAUGAAUACUAGGUGUUGGAGGGUUUCCGCCCUUCAGUGCCGCAGCUAACGCAUUAAGUAUUCCGCCUGGGGAGUACGACCGCAAGGUUGAAACUCAAAGGAAUUGACGGGGGCCCGCACAAGUGGUGGAGCAUGUGGUUUAAUUCGAUGCUACGCGAAGAACCUUACCAGGUCUUGACAUCUUCUGCCAACCUAAGAGAUUAGGCGUUCCCUUCGGGGACAGAAUGACAGGUGGUGCAUGGUUGUCGUCAGCUCGUGUCGUGAGAUGUUGGGUUAAGUCCCGCAACGAGCGCAACCCUUAUUAUUAGUUGCCAGCAUUAAGUUGGGCACUCUAGUGAGACUGCCGGUGAUAAACCGGAGGAAGGUGGGGAUGACGUCAAAUCAUCAUGCCCCUUAUGACCUGGGCUACACACGUGCUACAAUGGAUGGUACAACGAGUUGCGAAACCGCGAGGUCAAGCUAAUCGCUUAAAGCCAUUCUCAGUUCGGAUUGCAGGCUGCAACUCGCCUGCAUGAAGUUGGAAUCACUAGUAAUCGUGGAUCAGCAUGCCACGGUGAAUACGUUCCCGGGCCUUGUACUCACCGCC